AUUGAACGCUGGCGGCAUGCCUUACACAUGCAAGUCGAACGGCAGCACGGGGCAACCUGGUGGCGAGUGGCGAACGGGUGAGUAAUGCAUCGGAACGUGCCAUUGAGUGGGGGAUAACGUAGCGAAAGUUGCGCUAAUACCGCAUAUUCUGUGAGCAGGAAAGCAGGGGACCGCAAGGCCUUGCGCUCUUUGAGCGGCCGAUGUCAGAUUAGCUAGUUGGUGAGGUAACGGCUUACCAAGGCGACGAUCUGUAGCGGGUCUGAGAGGAUGAUCCGCUACACUGGAACUGAGACACGGUCCAGACUCCUACGGGAGGCAGCAGUGGGGAAUUUUGGACAAUGGGCGCAAGCCUGAUCCAGCCAUGCCGCGUGAGUGAAGAAGGCCUGGUGUAAG
rnacentral:rRNA from 1 species